rnacentral:rRNA from 1 species
CCCUUAGAUGUUCUGGGCCGCACGCGCGCUACACUGACUGACUCAACGAGUUUACAACCUGUGCCGAAAGGUAUGGGUAAUCUUUUGAAAUUCAGUCGUGAUGGGGCUAGAUUAUUGCAACUAUUAAUCUUCAACGAGGAAUGCCUAGUAAGCGCGAAUCAUCAGUUCGCGUUGAUUACGUCCCUGCCCUUUGUACACACCGCCCGUCGCUCCUACCGAUUGAAUGGUCCGGUGAAGCCUCCGGAUUGGCGCGCACCUCGGUGCCGCCGAGAAGUUGGCUAAACCUUACCAUUUAGAGGAAGGUGAAGUCGUANCA